GUGCUCACUUCAGCAGCACAUAUACUAAAACUGGAAUGAUACAGAGAAGAUUAGCAUGGCCCCUGCACAAAGAUAACAUGCAAAUUCAUGAAGCAUUCCAUAUUUUC